UGGCUCAGUGGUUAAGAGUACUGGUUGCUCUUCCAGAGGUUCUGGGUUCAAUUCCCAG
rnacentral:tRNA from 1 species